rnacentral:tRNA from 1 species
UGCCACGUAGCUCAGUUGGCAGAGCAUUGGGCUAGCAUUCCAAAGGUCGUAGGUUCGAUUCCCACCGUGGUCA